UGGGGAAUUUUGGACAAUGGGCGAAAGCCUGAUCCAGCAAUGCCGCGUGUGUGAAGAAGGCCUUCGGGUUGUAAAGCACUUUUGUCCGGAAAGAAAUCCUUGGCUCUAAUACAGUCGGGGGAUGACGGUACCGGAAGAAUAAGCACCGGCUAACUACGUGCCAGCAGCCGCGGUAAUACGUAGGGUGCAAGCGUUAAUCGGAAUUACUGGGCGUAAAGCGUGCGCAGGCGGUUUGCUAAGACCGAUGUGAAAUCCCCGGGCUCAACCUGGGAACUGCAUUGGUGACUGGCAGGCUAGAGUAUGGCAGAGGGGGGUAGAAUUCCACGUGUAGCAGUGAAAUGCGUAGAGAUGUGGAGGAAUACCGAUGGCGAAGGCAGCCCCCUGGGCCAAAUACUGACGCUCAUGCACGAAAGCGUGGGGAGCAAACAGGAUUAGAUACCCUGGUAGUCCACGCCCUAAAACGAUGUCAACUAGUUGUUGGGGAUUCAUUUCCUUAGUAACGUAGCUAACGCGUGAAGUUGACCGCCUGGGGAGUACGGUCGCAAGAUUAGAACUCAAAUGAAUUGACGGGGUCAUAGCUGUUUCC
rnacentral:rRNA from 1 species